UACGGAGGGUGCGAGCGUUAAUCGGAAUUACUGGGCGUAAAGGGCGCGUAGGCGGCUGAUCAAGUCAGGUGUGAAAGCCCACGGCUUAACCGUGUGAAGUGCAUCUGAAACUGGUCGGCUUGAGUAUCGGAGAGGAAAGUGGAAUUCCCGGUGUAGAGGUGAAAUGCGUAGAUAUCCGGAGGAACACCAGUGGCGAAAGCGGCUCUCUGGACCAAUACUGACGCUGAGGCGCGAAGGCGUGGGUAGCAAACAGGAUUAGAAACCCUGGUAGU
rnacentral:rRNA from 1 species